rnacentral:rRNA from 1 species
UACAGAGGGGCAAGCGUUGUUCGGAAUUACUGGGCGUAAAGGGCGCGUAGGCGGCCUGUUAAGUCGAACGUGAAAUCCCCGGGCUCAACCCGGGAACUGCGUCCGAUACUGGCAGGCUUGAAUCCGGGAGAGGAAUGCGGAAUUCCAGGUGUAGCGGUGAAAUGCGUAGAUAUCUGGAGGAACACCGGUGGCGAAGGCGGCAUCCUGGACCGGCAUUGACGCUGAGGCGCGAAAGCCAGGGGAGCAAACGGGG